CCUACGGGUGGCAGCAGUGAGGGAUAUUGGUCAAUGGGGGAAACCCUGAACCAGCAACGUCGCGUGAGGGAAGACGGUUCUCGGAUUGUAAACCUUUGUCUUCUGUGAAGAUAAUGACGGUAGCAGAGGAGGUAUCUCCGGCUAACUACGUGCCAGCAGCCGCGGUAAUACGUAGGGAGCAAGGGUUGUCCGGAUUUACUGGGUGUAAAGGGUGCGUAGGCGGUUUUGCAAGUCAGAAGUGAAAUCCAUUGGCUUAACCCAAGAAUUGCAUUUGAAACUGCAGGGCUUGAGUGGAGUAGAGGUAGGCGGAAUGCGCGGUGUAGCGGUGAAAUGCGUAGAGAUCGGGAGGAACACCGGUGGCGAAGGCAGCCUACUAGGCUCUAACUGACGCUGAGGCACGAAAGCGUGGGUAGCAAACAGGAUUAGAUACCCGGGUAGUC
rnacentral:rRNA from 1 species